AUUGAACGCUGGCGGCGUGCUUAACACAUGCAAGUCGAUCGGUAACAGGUGUAGCAAUACAUGCUGACGAGAGGCGGACGGGUGAGGAAUAUUUGGGAAUCUGCCCAUCAGCGGGGGACAACCCGGGGAAACCCGGGCUAAUACCGCAUACGCUCUACGGAGGAAAGCCGGGGACCGCAAGGCCUGGCACUGAUGGAUGAGCCCAAAUCGGAUUAGCUAGUUGGCGGGGUAACGGCCCACCAAGGCGACGAUCCGUAGCUGGUCUGAGAGGACGAUCAGCCACACCGGAACUGAGACACGGUCCGGACUCCUACGGGAGGCAGCAGUGGGGAAUAUUGGACAAUGGGGGAAAUCCUGAUCCAGCGACGCCGCGUGGGUGAAGAAGGCCUGCGGGUUGUAAAGCCCUUUCGGUAGGGACGAAAGCUCUUGCUCCAACAAAGCAGGAGGUUGACUUAACCUACAUAAGAAGCACCGGCUAACUCUGUGCCAGCCGCCGCGGUAAUAC
rnacentral:rRNA from 1 species